GUCGAGAAUCUUUCACAAUGGGGGCAACCCUGAUGGAGCGACGCCGCGUGGAGGAUAUGGUCUUCGGAUUGUAAACUCCUGUCAUGCGUGAACAAGGUUGCUUGGAUAAUACCUGAGCAAAUUGAUGGUAGCGCAAGAGGAAGAGACGGCUAACUCUGUGCCAGCAGCCGCGGUAAUACAGAGGUCUCAAGCGUUGUUCGGAAUCACUGGGCGUAAAGGGUGCGUAGGUGGCGUGGCAAGUCAGAUGUGAAAGCCCGGGGCUCAACCUCGGAACUGCAUCCGAUACUGCCAUGCUAGAGUACUGGAGGGGUGACUAGAAUUCUCGGUGUAGCAGUGAAAUGCGUAGAUAUCGAGAGGAAUACCAAAGGCGUAGGCAGGUCACUGGACAGUUACUGACACUGAGGCACGAAGGCCAGGGGAGCGAACGGGAUUAGAUACCCCUGUAGUCC
rnacentral:rRNA from 1 species